rnacentral:lncRNA from 1 species
UAGGCCACUGUUUGAUAUUAAAGUUUCCCUGCAGUCAUACUGGAGUAUUAUUACUCUGUAUUGCUUUGAAAACAAACGGUGAGACCUGUGUCCUCAGAGUACCUUUUAGGCUGUGUUGUUUGGACCAAACAAGCUUCCCAUUUUCUGGCAAAAUCAUCGUUUUGAUCAUUGUGAGACAAAAGGCUGAGAAUAGAUAGGUGACCAAUAUUCUAGCCUGUUUCCACUUUUACAAACAAAAUAAAAAAAUAAAAAAAAAACAACCAAAUUUCACUGUGGUUAUGAAUUUGGACCUCUAUGUAUAAAAUAAUUAUAAGGGUUAUAAGAAAUGUAAAUAUUACAUUUGAUGCCGUCACACCAAAAAAAAACCUUUUAAAAGUGCUGCAUGUAGUGGAGGUUAGUGAUAAGUUGAAAUAUUUUAUUUUUGGUGGACAUAUAAAAGGCAACCAUGGGCUUUCACACUUACUACAGUUUUUUUCUCUCUUUCAGUUGAAAAUUCAUGUUUUUAUUUUUUAUUAUUUUAUUUUGUGAACUUAAACAAGUUCAAGCUGCAAAAGUGACAUCUGUGUUUGUACAAGACAUCAGACAGCAUUUGAAUUUAUUAAUAUAAAGCAUUUUACACCUAGAAGAGCCUCAAAUAACCAAUGUAGUAAGCAGAUGGGAAAAUACAAUAAAUAGUCUGUCUUUCAAUGGCAUUUAUAAUGUUGCCUCAUUCAGCAAUGGCAGACAAAAUAGGCAAAUGGACUUUUUUUAUAGUGCUAGUUUAGGAAAGCUUCUUUGAAGCUGCUUUUAUUAGAAGCUCAUUUUUAACAUUUUUGGAUUGAGUAAAUAAUCAAGGGAUCUGCAUUUUGUGAUGCAAAAGUUGUAACCAUUUUAGGAAAAAAAAAAAAACAACGCUUAAUUUACAAGGGCUUUCAAAUGUAAAUAAAAGCCAAAAGUGUAUUCUGAAAUGGAGAACAUUUUAGUGAAAUCACUUCAACCCUAAGGCAUUUUAAUCUAAAUUUUGCCUUCAGAUGUACUUCUUCUAAUACACAAAACAAAAGGUCUAAGAGCAAAAAAUUAAAUGGGUUUGGGGUUUUCAGCUUGAAGGAGAGAAAAAUCAAGGACAAUUCAAAUUAAAAAUAUUUAAUUUUAGCAUUUCGACUAAGAGAAUGGAGAUAUGUUGUUCUGUCUUCAUUUACUUAAAAAAUGCUUAAAAUUUUUUGGAAAAUAAUCUAUGAACAUUACCAUAUGGAGGUCUUCACUUGGAAAGAAGCCACCAUUUACUGUUGCUGAGAGUUUGUAUCAUAAAGGAGAGUCUGAAGGAAUUUGAAAGCUUUUUGUAAGAUCAUUAGAAAUAUGACAGAAUUUUUUUUCCCAUGUUGGUUAGAAUUGCUUGGGUGUGAUUGACUCCAAAUUAAUUCCCAUCUUCUUUCAGCUCAGUUUGCUGUUUGGCAAGGUGUACCAUAUUUCUCCAAAAAAAAAAUGAUUUCAGCCAUGUGCUGUUCAAUUAAUUAAACCAAAAGGCCAUUAGACAGGCACGGCUCUGCUGUUGGACUGCCUAUGUAAAUGCCUCAAGGUUAUGAAAUCAAAAUCUAAAAACAACCAAUCAUAACCAACUAGGCUUUAAAUUACAGCCAAUAACAUAAUUUCCCUGCUUUGCUUCUGUACCUUCUCUACAUAAGUCUUGUCCCUGGCUCCUUCCUGUCUUUGGAGUGCCCCUAAUCACUUAGAGUUUGGUGUUGAGUCCAAUCAAUGUUUACUCAAACAAACUCUUAAAAUUUUUAAUACUCUUCAAUUUUUCUUUUAGCAGUGCUUACAGAAGGAUUAGUUAGAGAGUAAUUCCACUUAAUUUUUCUGUCUAUGAUAGAGAGUAAAAGUUGACUGUCCAGCUCAUGUCUUUCAGAUCCAGUUGAAAUCUGUCACAAUCAAAGGAAACAUUGGGAAGUGGUUGCAUUUCUGGAUGCUUCUCAUUAUACUUUUUUUUUUCUACUCUUUUUGGUGCAUCUCAUAAUGAGUUCUUUCAUUGCUUGUGGAUUUAAUAUAUUUUUUCUCCCAGUCCACAGAUAAACCCAGAUGAAAAGCCAUCAAACCAUGGACUAGGGAACAUCAUGCACAUUGUGUAGCAGAUGUGAUGACUCUAUCAGAAUAAAAGGGCAGUCUGGAUGCACACACCAUUCUCAUCUCAUGUGGUUGCCAAUGUAAAACAGUUUUAUGCAAUGUUUCAAAAGCUUGCUUAAUUCAAAAUAGGAACUAGCAUAAGUUCCUAGGUAGAUUUCCUUUUCAUGAAAGCCAUAUACAGUCACUGAAGGUACAACUUAGAUGAUCAAAUUUUAUCUUAUCAGAUCUCGGCUGCUCUAAGUAAUAGCACACUUUUGGGUAACUGGGAGAAUUCUUUUUUCUUGUUCUUGUGUACAGACAUUGUGAAUCUUUCCUUUGGGGAUAUUUUUCCUAGCAGAGAUGGGAAAAGGAGGCAAGAUGGAUGGUAGAGAAGGAACUAGACCUUUUUCUCAUCAAAAAGUAGAUAAAGUUGACCUUUGGAGCUGUUACCCAGAGUAAGGAUAAAAAGGGGGGGGGCAGGGGGAAAGGUGGCAGAAGGUGACAGAGUGGUCAUUAAAGGCUCUUUAUUAUGCCUUUAUUAUGUAUAUUACCUGUAACUCAGCCGUACAAAUUUAUAAGCAUGUCCUAAAACUGAGGGAGGUGAUGAGGGCUUUGGAAUUCAAGUUAAGACUUUGCUAUUUAUUUGGCAAGUCACUUAAUCUUUUCAUGCUGAAUUUUUCUUUCUUUUUUUUUUUUUUAAGGGCCACACUCGCAGCAAAUGGAGGUUCUCAGGCUAGGGGUCUAAUGGGAGCUGUAGCCGCCAGAUGGGAGUUCCUGUCGUGGCACAGUGGUUAACGAAUCCGACCAGGAACCAUGAGGUUGCAGGUUCGAUCCCUGGCCUUGCUCAGUGGGUUAAGGAUCCAGCAUUGCCAUGAGCUGUGGUGUAGGUCGCAGAUGCAGCUCACAUCCCACGUUGCUGUGGUUCUGGCAUAGGCCUGUGGCUACAGCUCUGAUUCGACCCCUAGGCUGGGAACCUCCAUAUGCCGCGGGAGCGGC